rnacentral:rRNA from 1 species
AUUGAACGCUGGCGGCAGGCCUAACACAUGCAAGUCGAGCGGAUGAAGGGAGCUUGCUCCUGGAUUCAGCGGCGGACGGGUGAGUAAUGCCUAGGAAUCUGCCUGGUAGUGGGGGAUAACGUCCGGAAACGGGCGCUAAUACCGCAUACGUCCUGAGGGAGAAAGUGGGGGAUCUUCGGACCUCACGCUAUCAGAUGAGCCUAGGUCGGAUUAGCUAGUUGGUGGGGUAAAGGCCUACCAAGGCGACGAUCCGUAACUGGUCUGAGAGGAUGAUCAGUCACACUGGAACUGAGACACGGUCCAGACUCCUACGGGAGGCAGCAGUGGGGAAUAUCGGACAAUGGGCGAAAGCCUGAUCCAGCCGUGCCGCGUGUGUGAAGAAGGUCUUCGGAUUGUAAAGCACUUUAAGUUGGGAGGAAGGGCAGUAAGUUAAUACCUUGCUGUUUUGACGUUACCAACAGAAUAAGCACCGGCUAACUUCGUG